AGAAGGGGAUGGAGGGGGUACUAAAAAAAUAUUUAAUUAUUCACAGCGAAUUAUAGGAAGACACAUAUGCAAUUAACCCAUUCUCCUGGUCAUCAACCUGUUUCAACAGGUCACGGUGCAUUAUGAGCGGAUUGGGAUAAAAGAUUGGAUUAUUAAAUAAUAAUCAAAAGGUUGGAUUAUUUUGAGCGAAUGGCCCAAAUGUUGGAUUAUUAGAAUCAAUUUUUCCUUUUAUGAUUAUGAUUGAUGAGAUUGUUUGGUAACAUGAAAUCGAUUGGAAAUCUGUAUAUAUUUCCUAGUUGUAUAACUUGUGAAUUGGAUUGCAUUACUAUUGUAAUGCGAAAUUCUAUAGUAUCACAAGCAUGAAAUGAAUUGGAUUGGUAAUUAUGAUUUAUUAUUGUAAUAAGGUUACAAGAGGUUGCCUAAACUAAAGAAUUAAGCAAUUUAUCUAAUAAAAAAACAUUAAAUGAUUAUUUGUUUAGUGUUAUGUGAAUGAAUAAUAAUAAGAAUAAGGUUAUUUGGCGAUAAACUUGUAGUUGGAAUCCCUACAAGUAUGAACAAUGGGGGGUGUGGGACUUGUUGUACACUCCUACGCAUGCCUACUAUGACGACAACAAUAUCCUCAUAGAUUUUGAUAGCUCAAGUAGGGGGAAGGUUCUGUACGAUCUUGGGGUUAUGCAUAAUAAGGUGAUGGGUGUGAAGCGGAACGAAACCACAUUUGUAUUCCAUCUAAUAGACGAAGUUGUCUAUUAAGGAUUAAGUAGUCCAUAUGAUUCUAGAAAGAUGACGAAGCUCGUUCGUUGCCAAUUAAAUAUAAAAGUAAUAAAAUGUAAUACCCUCGUCGUAUCAUGUCUAGGAAUGAUUCUUAUUACUUUGAUUAAGCUUGGUAUAUUACUUCAUUGUUUAAGUACUUACACAACAUAGCUGAUUAUUUGUUAUUUGUGUUGUUUGUUGACCUGUGAUGAACCAUUGAUGUUCAUUGGGGAGAACAUUAGGUAUGUUGUUGAUGUUGCAUGAGUUCGGGCAUAGUGAUUCCUUAUUAUUUUUGUUUUCUAAACUUUUAAAGUGUUUUAUUGAACCUUCUAGAGUUAUUUAUGAAUUACUUAGUUUAUGGUUUUAAAUAAAAAGGGGUCCAUAGUGAUUUCUUAUUAUUUCCACUGCAGUUUAGUUUUUAAUAAUAUGGAGUAAGUUAAUGUCUUUAUUUCAAUAAGUCUUGCGUCUCACCAUGGCGGUAACACUCUGAAAGUCGAUGCAACGUAGUUUAUAUGUGUAUAUUUUGGGGGUGUUACACAAAGCUUUUAUAUUUAAGAUUAUUUUUAAUAUUGUGUUCAAAAGUUAUAAUUUGAUGAUUUAAUUAUGAAUUUAAGAUUAUAUAAUUUAUGUAAUGAAGAAAUAAAAAUUCAUAUUUACUUAUUAUGAUUGGAUUGGAAUUUUAAAUAUCAAAGCAUGGAUUUUUAUGAUUUCAUGAGUUGAAAAUCAUAGUAGUAUAUAUUAUAGUUUAUGAAAUUGAGUAUUCUUAUAUGAUUUAACUUGUUGUUGUUCAUGAUUUCUUAAGUUAAGUUGUUGAUUCAUGAUUUGGGUUUAUUUGGUUUGUAAUUUCUAAAUAUGAAUUUAUUUGUAAUUGACUAGUUUGGUUUGAUAAUGUUAUUGAUUCAUGUUUAUCAAUUUAAUUAGGAAAUCUCAAGAGAAAUGGGUUCUUCUUGAUUAUGAAUUUAUUGGGUUUUUUUUCGCUCUUGUUCUUCAUUCAAAGAUUGCAUAAUUUACGUAUAAUUUUGUUCAUAUGUGGAAAAUUAGAUGCAAAAUGCUGAAUUUGUGUGUGUGAGUGUUAGGUUCACCUAGAAUAUCACUUCUUUUUAUUUCUCUUUCAGGGAUUAAUUUAGCUGAUUUGCAUUUGUUAGAACUCCAAGCUCUUCUAGAGAUCUAAUAUUGAAUACUAUGUAAUACUUCCUUUGAGAUAUGAUGUUUAGAUGGUUAAAAUGCUAAUUCGAAUGCGAAUGCCUAAUUUUCUAAUUUGUCUCCCCACUUUAAGAAUCCUGACUCCGCCAUCGAUUUUAGUUCUUCGCUACUACUACAAAAAAAGCCUAGGAAACUGAUUGAAAACGGCCUAGGAAACCAGACUACAACACGUUUUCAUCUCACAUGUGUCCUAGGUUAAGAGACCGGUUAUAAUAUAUGGUUUCUUUGAUUCUUUGAGAGACCUGUUGAUAGGUUAAAGCAAUCUCUUAGAUAAGUGUAAAUAUACUAUGAAAAGAGGUUAGGAGACCAGUUACCAUUUAUAACCAGUCUCCUUACCUUACUCUUUGAAACCACACUGGUAGAAAAAGGUCAAUUUGCGUCGCCCCAUUUGCGUCGCACAAACACGGAAACGAUGCAAAUAUACUAUUUGUGUCGCAUGCGAUAAUGAAUCGACGCAUAAGACGAAUUAUGUGCGUCGUAUCUAAAUAUUGUGCGAUGCAAAUCAUCUAUGUGCCGUCGCAUGAAGCCCAUCAUGCGACGCACAUAACAAAGUAAUCUGCGUCGCAUGAAGCCCAUGGUGUGACGCAGUAUACAAGCCCACCCGUGUUUUAUAUCCUCAAACCCUAAAAAACUUCAUUUGCAGCGAAGAAACCCAGCGCCUCUUUCUCAUCACCCUCUCUCUCUCUCUCUCUCUCACCCUCAACCUCACCCUUUCUCUCUCUUAACCUUCAUCUCUCUUUCGAAUCUCAAUAACGAAAGCAUAAAUCUUCUUAAUUUCGUGUUUUCGGGUCUCUGGCAUACAAAUUUCGACAAGUUCUUCUUCAAUUCUUCUUAAUUUCGUGUUUUCGGAUCUCUGGCAUACAAAUUUCGACAAGUUCUUCUUCAAUUUCGAAGAGUUCUUCAAUUCCGACAAGUUAUUCUUCAAUUUCGAAGAGUUCUUCAAUUUCGACAAGUUCUUCUUCAAUUUCGAAGAGUUCUUCGAUUUUCAGAUCUGAAGGAGGAAGAGAAGAAAUUGCAGACAAGAUCUUACAUUUCGGUUGUUUCAUUAUUUUCAGAUUUUUAUAUUUCUGUUGUUUAAGCGUAGGAUUUUCAGAUUUUUUUAUAUUUCGAUUGUUUUAGGAUUUCGCUGAACACUUCAUAUUAUUCCAGAUUUUUUUCAUUCUAUACUGGAUGUACAAGUGAUAUAAUUUUUUGGUUCGUUUCAUCGACCUCGCUGUAUAAUUUCAUUGUUUAAUUUCAGAUUUUUAUAUUUCGAUUGUUUAAUUUAUUUUAUUUUGAUGA